CCUAGACUAUACAAAAGAGGCAGUCGUUUAUCAUCUGAACCCGCACCCAAAGGGACCCCUCAUCUCAACAUCAUCUUCUUCAAAACUAACGCACAAAAUCAGCAGCCAUCUUCAACACUAACAGAGGAAACAAUCUAAAAACCUUGUAUUGAAGCUCCCAACUAUGACCCUUCUAGCCAAAACGACCCUUCAGCAUAUUCAACCUUACACCACAUCCACUUUUCUCGAUCUCCCUUCACCCUUGCACCCCACCUCCUUAAGCUAUGAGAAAAUGGCCUCACCAACACAUCCAUUAAUUGACUAAUAGGUGCUGGAAUUGGAUUCGAGUUCGACUAAGGUGAGGUUGAUUGAGGCGUUCAAGUUUGAUUUUUCGUUCGAGUUCUCGUCGCGCUGUAAUUUUCGAAGAUUUGAAUAUACCGGAAAGCGAUUCCAGUUUGUUGUGAGGUAGCAGCGCUAUGUAAAGGUGUUGGCGAUGAAGGAUUUACAGGAGCCAAGUUGCUAGUUUCUUUACUGUUCCAACGUGUUUUGGAUAUCAUGUCUAUUUUGGAUGAUUAUUGAAUUUAAUUUAAAUUUGUUAUGAUGAAUAUAAGGUCAUGGGUUGGUUAUUAGAAGUUUAAAGAAAUUUUAGUUGAA